GUGCUUAAAUGCUUAAACGUUUAAAUGAAAGUUUUGUUUUGUUUUUGUUUUUUUAUUCCCACAGUGACAUAAGGACUUCCUAAACCUCUGCAAAGUUUUGGGCUUUUUCAAGCAGCCCAGUAGAUCUGUCUGAUCCACUGUGAUGCUCUACUUUAGCUUGAAGCUUUCUUCACCUGAGAUUCACUCACUGCUCCUGAAAAUGGUACUACAUGGAUAGCCUAAAUAUUGCCCAUCUUCAAUAGAACACAUGUGCCUGAGCACAGAAGGAAGAACAGACUUGGAUCUUUGAUGGUUUCUGUGCUUUGUCUCAAGCAUCUGUGAUCUACAGUCAUGAGAAAAAGAAAGUACAAGAAGAAAGGACACCAGCCAUGACCUCAGUGAAGCACCUGCUGCUGUUCUUCAAUCUGGGAAGGGUUAUAAGGC
ensembl:lncRNA